rnacentral:ncRNA from 2 species
CUCUUAUCAAGAGAGGUGGAGGGACUGGCCCGAUGAAACCCGGCAACCACGAAUUGUUUUUGCAAUUCGAAGGUGCUAAUUCCAACAACACUUAUGUGUUGAAAGAUGAGAG